rnacentral:lncRNA from 1 species
AGUCUGUUGAUGCACAAAACCGGGACGGUCUUGGAACAACGUAAAUCCGACCGUGAAUUUGCACAAACGCUCAAGAACACUCAGAACACAAAGAACACAAGGAUUUUAUCGUGGUUCACCCCAAUGUUUGGGCUACGUCCACACUGUAGUUGAUUCUGUUUCUCUGUAAUUGUAUGGAUACAAGUGUUUGAGGGGAAGUCCCCCAGAGAGAGAAGAGAAGGGAGAGGAGAGCCUCGGUGGUGUGAUGACUCUCUCUCAAGGCUGUUUUCAGCUCUAGCCCUUAGAAAUGAGGACUUCAGCUCUGGUUUAGAAUGAGGGGGAGUCCCCUUUUAUAGAAUAAGGGGCUCCUCCUUCUUUACAUUUGUCGUGGGCUUAAUGUGUGAGGCCCAAAUACGAGGCCCAAGGCCCAAAUACGAGGCCCAAAUAUAUGGUACCAACAGGAGUCCCCCAAGUCUUCAGUCAAGAGAGUCUUUUGGCUGGAGACUUCAAAUUCAGUCCAUGUGUGGGCCGAAGUGACUGGAUGCUGUCUUGAAACAAUACUCAACAUGAGUCAACGCUUAACAUAAAGUAAUACUCAGCUAGAGGUAGCACACGUUACGAGGUUGCCCGGCCGGAGGUGAUGCCCGUUGCGAGGCUGCUUGGUUAGAGGCUUACGCUCGCGGUGAGAACUUGCUUGGUUAGAGGCUUAUGCUCGCAUCGAGAGGUUGCUCGGCUGGAGUCGAUGCUCAUUGCAAGGUUGCUUGGCUAGAGGCUUAUGCUCGCGGCGAGAGAUUGCUCGGCCGGAGUCGAUGCCCAUUGCCAGGUUGCUCGGUAAGAGGCUACGCUCGCAGCAAGGCGGCUCGGCUCGUGGCAUUCCUGGUUGCAAGUACGUACUUUAUGUUAACGUGUACUCAGUAUGAGUUGAUUCUCGACAUGACUAGGGUCUGUAAGUUGGGUUUGAUUUUGUAAGUGCCCAACAUGAAUGGUGUCUCAGCCCGUGGGUGUCCAAGCAAGUGGAUGUCUGGUCAGGCAAGAGAUCAAUGUUGAUCAGUAGAGCUGGUUGCUCGAUAAUUCCUGACAAUAAAUGACAACAUAAGUAUGAUUGUAUAAUGAAUAAAUCGAAUUGACACAAUUUGUCAAGGCAGAAUAUUGUACGAUGUGCCUACUACAAAUAAAUGAUUUAUUCAGUUGUGUGGUAAAUCACACGUUGCAUAAGUGAAAUAAUUAGCUGAAACACUGGGCAAUGAAUAAAUAUUUGCACAAAUAAAUGCUUAUAAAUAUGCGCGAUCCGACUAGGAUUAGUGAUAUAUAUAUCUAUAUAUAUAUACUUGUGAAAGGUUGUGUGCCCAUAAUUAUGCCACGUGACUAGCCAUUGUCUCAAGGUAAUAGCCUUUGAUGCAAUAGUAUAUAAUAUAUUGAUCAGUUCGGUGCAUGUGUUUAGCACAUGCAAUAGAUGGAGUUAUGAUCAUUUACAAUGAUUAAGUACUACUUUCUGUCAGCACAGUACAUUUAAUAUGGUGUUACAUGGCAUAUAAGUGAUGCAUUUGUAUUGCACUACGCAUACUGAUAUUGGUAUGUGCAUAGCAGACUUAAGUUUACAACAGCAUUAUUUAAUAAAAGCACAAGCACGCGGCAUAUGCGGUUGCAUUCUAGCACAAGUGUAUAUAUAUAUAUAUAUAUACUGUUGUGAUGCCAACUAUCAUUAUAUACUAAUAAUGCUUUCUAGCAACAAGCACGGCAUAUACUAAUAAUGCUUUUGUGAUGCCAACUAUCAUAUUAUAUAUAUAUAUAUAUAUAUAUAUAUAUAUAUAUAUAUGCUGUUGUGAUGCCAACUAUCAUUAUAUAUAUAUAUAUAUAUAUAUAUAUAUAUAUAUAUACAUAUAUUAAUUAUGCUUUUGUGAGUGCCGAUUAUAAUGAAACACUAUUGAUAAAGAAAGAAGAUGCCUUAUCUUUAUCCCGACAUUGGCGGUCGACAGGAAAAAGUGGAUGGAGACCUAACGUUUUUUGUUGUUGUCCAAGCCCUUUUUGAUGAUGAUUAUCGUCUCCGUCUCGGCCUCAGACGCAGAUCGCGGCGGCGUCGGCGUCUGGGAUGGAGUUUCAGCCAUAGGGUUUGGGUUUGAAUGUGAUCUCUGUGUGUGCACUUGGGCUUCUGAGUUGAUUUUGAUACUGGGCUCUGCCAAACUCGGGUCUCACAUUUGAUUGCAUAAAAUUCAAACCAUGAGGCACAUGGUAUGGCUGACCCCAUGCCCUCUCUCCGAAUCUGGUUGCAGUACAUUAUAAUUCUUUAAACUUGAAUUAACAGGAGCUCCACUUUGUCUCUGGCCCCCAACCCACAGGGGAUUUAGCGGGUUUCAGGGGAUUUAGCGGCGGAACAUGGCGGAUGGAGGUGAGAUUCUGGCUCUGUGGGGUUGAGAAUGGCAGAGAGAGAAGUGGACAUCCAGGAGAGGCGGUGCUGUUUUCUGCAGAUUCACGGUGGAGGUUGUGAGGUUUGAUGAAAAAAAAUGAAAGAGAACCGACAUAGCUUUUCGUGUCGAUUCCCACAGACGGCGCCAAAUGUUGAUGCACAAAACCGGGACGGUCUUGGAACAACGUAAAUCCGACCGUGAAUUUGCACAAACGCUCAAGAACACUCAGAACACAAAGAACACAAGGAUUUUAUCGUGGUUCACCCCAAUGUUUGGGCUACGUCCACACUGUAGUUGAUUAUGUUUCUCUGUAAUUGUAUGGAUACAAGUGUUUGAGGGGAAGUCCCCCAGAGAGAGAAGAGAAGGGAGAGGAGAGCCUCGGUGGUGUGAUGACUCUCUCUCAAGGCUGUUUUCAGCUCUAGCCCUUAGAAAUGAGGACUUCAGCUCUGGUUUAGAAUGAGGGGGAGUCCCCUUUUAUAGAAUAAGGGGCUCCUCCUUCUUUACAUUUGUCGUGGGCUUAAUGUGUGAGGCCCAAAUACGAGGCCCAAGGCCCAAAUACGAGGCCCAAAUAUAUGGUACCAACAAAGUCUAUACUUCAAAAUUGACCGUGUCAUGUUUUGUCAUUUUUCGAUUAACAUCUAUGUUUCAUCAAGUCUAUCAAAUAGACUUUAUUCACAUCUUGUUGCUCAAAUUAUGACAUCACUCCCAUUGGCCUUGUUGUAACUUAGCAUUCAAAAAUUAACAAUUAUAUUUUCUUGAUUUGAAUGCAUAUUGCUCCCACUAAUUUAAAUGAAUCAUACAUAAAAGAAUUCCUUCUCAAGCAAUUCCAUGAAAUGUGUGACUUGCUUUAUCAAAUCUAUUCAUUUAAAUUAUAUGGUGUCAUACACCAUACUUCAAGUUUUAGUCAUACUAAGACCUUUAAUGUAGUCA